ensembl:lncRNA novel transcript
GGCUUGAAUGAGAGGAUCUCUCCAUCCUUAUUUUUCUUUUGCUCUCUGACACGAACUUUCUGAUCUGUGGCCUUCGUAUCCUCCACAUGUUACCACUUUAAGUCGUAUCUGGAUGUGUUCAUGCUGAUCCAUCUUCUAGUCUCACCUUCCAGUUUGUCCUACUUUAUAAUCCUUCAGGUUUAAUUCAAAACCGAAUUUAUCCAUGAUAUAGCUUUCUUUUCUCUGGACUCAUAAGUAAGCCCCAUCACUCUUAGCCCUUUUUUGUGGGCCUGUCUGGGUUCCAUAAUUAGAUUGUGAUCCUCUAGGAAAGGAUUGUACCUGACAGCCUCUUCUAUUUCCCAUAGUAAAACUAGUUGAUUAAUUGUUGGUAAAAUUUACAUCAUAUAGCAGAAAUGGCUUCUUCAGUAAAACAGACUGAAGAAUAUGCUAGAGACUGGCUGCAAUAUAAGUGAGGUCUAAUUGGUUUUAAAUGAAGUAUUUUCCACUCUUUCAUUUCUUGAGUGGUUUCAAUUUAGAGCAUCUCUUCGGUUCUACCUUUAAUUCCCACAUUUAGAUUACAGUGAGAUCAUUUUCUGUUCCUCAAUUUUGGUUCCAGACCAACAUUUUAGAUUUUAAUACUACUAUAAUCUUGCUUUAUCCAACAAUAAAAUCUUGCCAAAAGUACAAGUAC